GACGAACGCUGGCGGCGUGCCUAACACAUGCAAGUUGAGCGACGAACCGGGGCUUGCCCCGGGGCAAAGCAGCGAACGGGUGAGUAACACGUGGGUAACCUGCCCCGAUGACCGGGACAACCCGAGGAAACUCGGGCUAAUACCGGAUGUGCCCUCCGUACAUCAGUACGGCGAGUAAAGGUAGCUUCGGCUUCCGCUUCGGGAGGGGCCCGCGGCCCAUUAGCUAGUUGGUGGGGUAAGGGCCUACCAAGGCGACGAUGGGUAGCUGGUCUGGGAGGACGAUCAGCCACACUGGGACUGGGACACGGCCCAGACUCCUACGGGAGGCAGCAGUGGAGAAUCUUGCGCAAUGCGCGAAAGCGUGACGCAGCAACGCCGCGUGGGGGAAGAAGGCCUUCGGGUUGUAAACCCCUUCCAGGAGGGACGAAGGUUCGGCGGUGAAUAGCCGUCCGGACUGACGGUACCUCCACAAGAAGCCCGGCUAACUACGUGCCAGCCGCCGCGGUAACAC
rnacentral:rRNA from 1 species